GAAGUGGGGAUGACGUCAAAUCAUCAUGCCCCUUAUGACCUGGGCUACACACGUGCUACAAUGGGCGGUACAAAGGGCUGCGAACCCGCGAGGGGGAGCGAAUCCCAAAAAGCCGCUCUCAGUUCGGAUUGCAGGCUGCAACUCGCCUGCAUGAAGCCGGAAUCGCUAGUAAUCGCGGAUCAGCAUGCCGCGGUGAAUACGUUCCCGGGCCUU
rnacentral:rRNA from 1 species